rnacentral:rRNA from 1 species
AGUGAACGCUGGCGGUAGGCCUAACACAUGCAAGUCGAACGGCAGCACGGUAAGAGCUUGCUCUUACGGGUGGCGAGUGGCGGACGGGUGAGGAAUACAUCGGAAUCUACUUUUUCGUGGGGGAUAACGUAGGGAAACUUACGCUAAUACCGCAUACGACCUACGGGUGAAAGCAGGGGAUCUUCGGACCUUUCGCGAUUGAAUGAGCCGAUGUCGGAUUAGCUAGUUGGCGGGGUAAAGGCCCACCAAGGCGACGAUCCGUAGCUGGUCUGAGAGGAUGAUCAGCCACACUGGAACUGAGACACGGUCCAGACUCCUACGGGAGGCAGCAGUGGGGAAUAUUGGACAAUGGGCGCAAGCCUGAUCCAGCCAUACCGCGUGGGUGAAGAAGGCCUUCGGGUUGUAAAGCCCUUUUGUUGGGAAAGAAAAGCAGCAGGUUAAUACCCCGCUGUUCUGACGGUACCCAAAGAAUAAGCACCGGCUAACUUCGUG